rnacentral:lncRNA from 1 species
GCCUUCUUCUUCAGUGAAGCCUAGGGGAGCCAGUAAAGAUUAAAUGUGCUUUCUCAAAGGCAGCCACUUCAUGCUGCUAUGUCGAAAGGGCUAUUAUUAUUAUUAAUAUGAGAGAGAGAGAGGGAGAGAGAGAGGGAGAGAGAGAGACUAGGUAUGGUGAUGACGGUCUGGCUUUUCGGAGAGCAAAAGGGAGAGAAAAAAGGAGAGACCAUGAGCUGAACCAAGGACUGUGUAUGAGCUGAACCUACAGAGGUGAGGAAAAAAA